CGCGUAGGCGGAUCGUUAAGUCAGAGGUGAAAUCCCAGGGCUCAACCCUGGAACUGCCUUUGAUACCGGCGAUCUUGAGUAUGAGAGAGGUAUGUGGAACUCCGAGUGUAGAGGUGAAAUUCGUAGAUAUUCGGAAGAACACCAGUGGCGAAGGCGACAUACUGGCUCAUUACUGACGCUGAGGCGCGAAAGCGUGGGAGCAAACA
rnacentral:rRNA from 1 species